CUAUCCACAGGCUUUAACCAAUGGGCAUACUCAUCAGGUGAAGCAUCAUUACCCUUCUGAAAUUCCUCAACUAGAGCGUUCAACUGAAGCCUCAUUAUCUGAGAGCUUGAACCAAAAGGUCAAGCCUCUGGAUAGUGAUAUACUAGAAGCAGGGCAAGAGAAUCUUGGAAUCAACAGAAAUGGCUCGAGCCUAGAGUUGGAAGCAUCAACAUCAGAAAAGGAUUUGAUGCAGUCCAAGGCUAAAGUAGCGAGAGGUCGUCAAACUCAGAGUGGGCCUCUCAUGCCUGGUAAUGGAUUAGGCCGGUCAU
rnacentral:lncRNA from 1 species